AUAGCUCGUUUGCACAAAAGCAAAUGAGCUUUUUCCCCCUCGCUCACUUGCAUUACCCCGAGCUUCCGCACUCAAUUCAUCACGUUGUAUCUUAUAUUUUUUACCGGUGAAAUCCAUUCGUCAUAACGUACUCGCAAAUUCAAGUCGAUCUUCGAUCGAGUUUUAGGACCCAACGACAUUUAUGCACGAUGUUGUCAGUGCAAACAUAUGAUGCGUGAAAAAGCAAAUUAAUCCACGAAAAAUUGUCGAGGAUAAGAAUGAGGUUAGAUAUAUUUGCCGUGUACAUAUAAAUUGUGAAAACUCGAUUCUUACGUCAGUAUUUUAGGCAAAACGAUUAUGCGGCGUAUACAUAUACGAAGAAUAAGCUCGAUCAGAUCUCGCAGUUGGUCUACUGGAUAGCUGAGCCGUAAUUAGUUUUUAGGGCGAAGGAGUCUCGUUUUGAGGUCAGUGUGUUUUUAGACUCUCAAUCAAACAAUUGAGGCAAACGGGGUUCGUUCGAUAUCAAAAACCACCUCUCCAGUAUUUGAAUAAUAAUUGACGAGAGCUAGUAACCGAUAUAUAGCAGAGACGCGACGAAGGAGCAUUCAGUUACCUGCUAAGGGGCGUUCCAACAACGAUUGGAACUGUUCGCCCCAUCGAUCGCGAACCCCUCGUUCGAUUCCAUUCUAGAAAAUAACUUACAACGCAAGAUCGGCUUCGAAAAUGAACACCGCUUGCGUUUACGCAGCCUUCGACGUAGCUCUGACCUGCGGAUCGGGGUUCGGCUACAUCGUAUUCGUGGAGAUAUUAAUACGGAUGUUCAGACCAGACAUAGUCGAUCGAAAGAACAAAGUGAAAAGUGUCCCGGCGGAAAAUAUAUUGGAAAGUUACGAUUACGUAGUGAUAGGCGCCGGGUCUGCGGGAUCUGUCUUGGCCAACAGAUUGACGGAGAACGGAGACGACAAGGUGCUACUCCUCGAAGCUGGAGACGACGAACCACUUUUUUCAGAUAUAGUUGCCUUGCAGCCAGCGAUCGCGGCCAUUGAAAAAUAUAACUGGCUAUUUAAGGCCGAACCCUCGACGAGUUAUUGUUUGGCUAUGAAGGACAAGCGAUGCCCCGUCAGCGGGGGUAAAGUGCUGGGUGGCAGCAGCGUACACAACGACAUGAUUCAAGUACGAGGUAAUAGGAAGGAUUUCGACACCUGGAGAGAUAUGGGAAAUCCCGGAUGGGGCUACGAGGAUAUCCUACCGUAUUUCAAAAAAUCCGAAGACAUGAGGAUUCCAAGUUAUCGAAAUUCACCGUAUCACGGAACCGAUGGUUUAUUAACGAUAGAAAGAAUCCGAUCCGGAAAUGGAUUGACGAAUUUAUUCUUGGACGCUGUUGUUUCAUUGGGCUACAAAGUCUUGGAUACGAACUCGAACACGCAAACGGGGUGCGAAAAAAUACAGUACACGCUCAGAGAUGGGCUGCGAUGCAGCGCGGCCAAAGCCUUCCUACGUCCGGCCUCCCAUAGGCGGAAUCUUGUCGUGAGCACAAAUUCUCUGGUCAGAAAAAUUCUGGUGAAUAAGACGACGAAGAUAGCUUACGGCGUUCGGUUCAGCCGAGAAGGCAAAGACUAUACCGUCCAUGCCAAACGGGAGAUAAUUCUGUCGGCGGGAGGGAUACUGUCGCCAAAAAUUCUAAUGCUGUCGGGAAUAGGACCGAAACAACACCUCGAAGAUAUGGGAAUCGAGGUCGUUCACGACAGUCCUGGCGUUGGACGAAAUCUGACGAAUCACGCGUACGUCGGCGGGCUUAUUUUCUCGAUCGACGUUCCGUCAAACAGAACCGAUCUCGACACUCCCAGAACUAUAACUUCAUCCUCUCUGAGAAAUUUCAUGGAAAACAAAGAGGGUCUAUUGUACCGCACGCAAGAAGAGGCUGUUGGAUACCUUAUCUCUAGACACGCCGAUCGUUCUCAAGAUUACCCGGAUAUUCAGGUGUUUUUCAGCACAACAGUAGGGGAUACGUACAAUAACCCUUCUGCCGAUGCUACAAAUUUCAAUUCGAAACGUGACUCUCGGAUUAGUGUUUCUAAAAAAAAUCGGAAUAAACGUUUCUUCCAAAUGAACACGGUUGAUUCACGGCCGAGAAGCAGAGGCUACGUGGAAUUGAUAGACAAGAAUCCCGAUCAGGAUCCAAAAGUGGUCUUCAAUUAUUUCGACGAUCCAGAAGACAUGAAAACUUCGAUACGGGGUAUCAAAUUAGCUAUGAAAAUUAGCCGGGCUCCUGUUUUCAAACAGCUCAACGCACGUUUCAAUCCAAAACCGAUUCGCGGAUGCGCCAAGUUUGCCGCAUUCUCUGACGAAUACUGGGAGUGUCUGGUGAGAUACAACACUAUGUCGGCGCAUCAUUACGUUUCGACGUGCCGAAUGGGCCCACCGAAAGAUAAAUGGGCCGUUGUGGACUCGCGCCUCAGAGUCCAUGGAGUGCAGGGACUUCGGGUCGUGGACGCUUCGGUGAUGCCUGCAAUCACGACGGGUAAUACCAACGCUCCGACGAUCAUGAUCGCUGAAAAAGCUUCGGACAUGAUCAAGGAAGAUCGUAAAAUGUACGCUUCGUACGCCUGAGAAAAAAAAAAAAAAAAAGAAGAAACACGCCGCGUAAACGAUACGUACGAAGGCGACGAUCGUUCGACCAAGGCAAAAAUCAUCACUCUGCGCUAAUCACCCCAUCGAGAAUAUGGCCCUGAACACGUAACAUCUCCGCGAGCAUAAAUUACACACAUCGUCCGUCUAAACGCGAGGGAAAACUGGUGUACAGAAAAGGGAAAAAAAAGGAGAAAAAGAUGGCACAAAAACGCAAGAAUUAGCGACUACCCACAUCGAUUAAAUAGUAGGCAGAGCUUUUCACAUCAAUUUGGUAUUCCCCGUGCAGCGGUGAGGUGCUGGAUAAUACUAUGGAAAAAAUGCAGGGCAUCUAAUGAUAGCGUGAACGUUCGAGAGCCUUGCCAAUGGAAUUCAAGAGCGAAUUUUAGUCCCUGACCUUCAACGAGAGAACAAUCUAUAGAAUCGCAUCAGCUGCAGCCGAUUACGUCAGGUCAAAUUUUGGACAGGGAAUAAUCGACGCCGCUGUCCAUUGGCCUUAUCCCGAUGUAUCGUUAAUCGCCGACCACCGGUAAUCGCUGUAAACGAUCUUUUCGUCGAUGACGAACGUUAUACAACAACCGCGGUAAAACAAGUUCAGGAGACUGUGCUCUACUUCUACCGAUUCGCACACGAACUUCCGCAUAUAUGUAUAUUCGAUAUUCGAGGCUGAUUUGCAUUCAAUGGACGUCAAGCGGAGCGAUACGUCGUACACCGAGUGUACCCCUGUUCCAAGAGAGGUGUAGUAAGUAAAAAUUCAUACUUGUACACACGUUGAUUAAUCAGCGUCUGC